GAACCGUCCAAACGUUAUUCGGAAUCACUGGGCUUAAAGGGUGCGUAGGCGGCUUGGCAAGUUGGGUGUGAAAUCCCUCGGCUCAACCGAGGAACUGCGCUCAAAACUGCCAAGCUAGAGGAAGAUAGAGGUGAGCGGAACUAAUGGUGGAGCGGUGAAAUGCGUUGAUAUCAUUAGGAACACCUGUGGCGAAAGCGGCUCACUGGGUCUUUUCUGACGCUGAGGCACGAAAGCUAGGGUAGCGAACGGGGGAUUAGAUACCCCGGUAGUCCUAGCUGUAAACGAUGAGCACUAGGUUGGAGGCUCCUCCAUAGGCUUCCGACCGAAGCGAAAGUGUUAAGUGCUCCGCCUGGGGAGUAUGGUCGCAAGGCUG
rnacentral:rRNA from 1 species